ACUCCUACGGGAGGCAGCAGUAGGGAAUCUUCCACAAUGGGCGCAAGCCUGAUGGAGCAACACCGCGUGAGUGAAGAAGGGUUUCGGCUCGUAAAGCUCUGUUGUUAAAGAAGAACACGUAUGAGAGUAACUGUUCAUACGUUGACGGUAUUUAACCAGAAAGUCACGGCUAACUACGUGCCAGCAGCCGCGGUAAUACGUAGGUGGCAAGCGUUAUCCGGAUUUAUUGGGGCGUAAAGAGAGUGCAGGCGGUUUUCUAAGUCUGAUGCGAAAGCCUUCGGCUUAACCGGAGAAGUGCAUCGGAAACUGGAUAACUUGAGUGCAGAAGAGGGUAGUGGAACUCCAUGUGUAGCGGUGGAAUGCGUAGAUAUAUGGAAGAACACCAGUGGCGAAGGCGGCCCCCUGGACAAAGACUGACGCUCAGAUGCGAAAGCGUGGGGAGCAAACAGGAUUAGAUACCCUGGUAGCGACUGA
rnacentral:rRNA from 1 species